CGGGUGUCCCGUUCCUGGAGUACCAUCCUGUAGGUUUUAACCCCAACCCUGUUCCUGGAGUACCAUCCUGUAGGUUUUAACCCCAACCCUGUUCCUGGAGUACCAUCCUGUAGGUUUUAACUCCAACCCUGUUCCUGGAGUACCAUCCUGUAGGUUUUAACUCCAACCCUGUUCCUGGAGUACCAUCCUGUAGGUUUUAACCCCAACCCUGUUCCUGGAGUACCAUCCUGUAGGUUUUAACUCCAACCCUGUUCCUGGAGUACCAUCCUGUAGGUUUUAACUCCAACCCUGUUCCUGGAGUACCAUCCUGUAGGUUUUAACCCCAACCCUGUUCCUGGAGUACCAUCCUGUAGGUUUUAACUCCAACCCUGUUCCUGGAGUACCAUCCUGUAGGUUUUAACUCCAACCCUGUUCCUGGAGUACCAUCCUGUAGGUUUUAACCCCAACCCUGUUCCUGGAGUACCAUCCUGUAGGUUUUAACUCCAACCCUGUUCCUGGAGUACCAUCCUGUAGGUUUUAACUCCAACCCUGUUCCUGGAGUACCAUCCUGUAGGUUUUAACUCCAACCCUGUUCCUGGAGUACCAUCCUGUAGGUUUUAACUCCAACCCUGUUCCUGGAGUACCAUCCUGUAGGUUUUAACUCCAACCCUGUUCUUGGAGAUACCCUCCUGUAGGUUUUAACUCCAACCCUGGUCCUAGAGAGAUACCCUCCUGUAGG